AGGGAUAUGAUGUUAACGGUUAGCAUAACGGUCUCCAAAACCGCUUGUUCGGGUUCGAAUCCUGAUAUCCCUG
rnacentral:tRNA from 1 species